UGGGGAAUUUUGGACAAUGGGGGAAACCCUGAUCCAGCCAUCCCGCGUGUGCGAUGAAGGCCUUCGGGUUGUAAAGCACUUUUGGCAGGAAAGAAACGUCGCGGGUUAAUACCCCGCGAAACUGACGGUACCUGCAGAAUAAGCACCGGCUAACUACGUGCCAGCAGCCGCGGUAAUACGUAGGGUGCAAGCGUUAAUCGGAAUUACUGGGCGUAAAGCGUGCGCAGGCGGUUCGGAAAGAAAGAUGUGAAAUCCCAGAGCUUAACUUUGGAACUGCAUUUUUAACUACCGGGCUAGAGUGUGUCAGAGGGAGGUGGAAUUCCGCGUGUAGCAGUGAAAUGCGUAGAUAUGCGGAGGAACACCGAUGGCGAAGGCAGCCUCCUGGGAUAACACUGACGCUCAUGCACGAAAGCGUGGGGAGCAAACAGGAUUAGAUACCCUGGUAGUCCACGCCCUAAACGAUGUCAACUAGCUGUUGGGGCCUUCGGGCCUUGGUAGCGCAGCUAACGCGUAAGUUGACCGCCUGGGGAGUACGGUCGCAAGAUUAAAACUCAAAUGAAUUGAC
rnacentral:rRNA from 1 species